rnacentral:rRNA from 1 species
AGCGCAGGCGGUUUUUUUAAGUCUGAUGUGAAAGCCCUUGGCUCAACCAAGGAAGUGCAUCGGAAACUGGAGAACUUGAGUGCAGAAGAGGACAGUGGAACUCCAUGUGUAGCGGUGAAAUGCGUAGAUAUAUGGAAGAACACCAGUGGCGAAGGCGGCUGUCUGGUCUGUAACUGACGCUGAGGCUCGAAAGCAUGGGUAGCGAACA